rnacentral:tRNA from 1 species
UCCCUGGUGGCUCAGAGGUUAAAGCGUCUGCCUGCAAUGCAGGAGACCUAAGUUCGAUCCCUGGGUCGGGAA